GAUGAACGCUGGCGGCGUGCCUAAUACAUGCAAGUCGAGCGAACGGACGAGAAGCUUGCUUUUCUGAUGUUAGCGGCGGACGGGUGAGUAACACGUGGAUAACCUACCUAUAAGACUGGGAUAACUUCGGGAAACCGGAGCUAAUACCGGAUAAUAUUUUGAACCGCAUGGUUCAAAAGUGAAAGACGGUCUUGCUGUCACGUAUAGAUGGAUCCGCGCUGCAUUAGCUAGUUGGUAAGGUAACGGCUUACCAAGGCAACGAUGCAUAGCCGACCUGAAAGGGUGAUCGGCCACACUGGAUCAGAGGCACGGUCCAGACUCCGGCGGGAGGCAGCAGUCGGGAAUCUUCCGCGAUGGGCGAGAGCCUGACAGAGCAACGCCGCGUGAGUGAUGAAGGUCUUCGGAUCGUAGAACUCUGUUAUUAGGGAAGAACAAAUGUGUAAGUAACUGUGCACAUCUUGACGGUACCUAAUCAGAAAGCCACGGCUAACUACGUG
rnacentral:rRNA from 1 species